UCGGGAAUUUUGGGCAAUGGGCGAAAGCCUGACCCAGCAACGCCGCGUGAGGGAUGAAGUAUUUCGGUAUGUAAACCUCGAAAGAAUGGGAAGAAUUAAUGACGGUACUAUUUAUAAGGUCCGGCUAACUACGUGCCAGCAGCCGCGGUAAUACGUAGGGACCAAGCGUUGUUCGGAUUUACUGGGCGUAAAGGGCGCGUAGGCGGCAAUUCAAGUCAGCUGUGAAAUCUCUGGGCUUAACCCGGAACGGCCAGCUGAUACUGCUUUGCUAGAGUGCGGAAGGGGCAAUCGGAAUUCUUGGUGUAGCGGUAAAAUGCGUAGAUAUCAAGAGGAACACCUGAGGUGAAGACGGGUUGCUGGGCCGACACUGACGCUGAGGCGCGAAAGCCAGGGGAGCAAACG
rnacentral:rRNA from 1 species